ACAUGCAAGUCGAGGGGCAGCAUGCUUUUAGCUUGCUAAGGCCGAUGGCGACCGGCGCACGGGUGAGUAACACGUAUCCAACCUGCCGUCUACUCUUGGACAGCCUUCUGAAAGGAAGAUUAAUACAAGAUGGCAUCAUGAGUCCGCAUGUUCACAUGAUUAAAGGUAUUCCGGUAGACGAUGGGGAUGCGUUCCAUUAGAUAGUAGGCGGGGUAACGGCCCACCUAGUCUUCGAUGGAUAGGGGUUCUGAGAGGAAGGUCCCCCACAUUGGAACUGAGACACGGUCCAAACUCCUACGGGAGGCAGCAGUGAGGAAUAUUGGUCAAUGGGCGAGAGCCUGAACCAGCCAAGUAGCGUGAAGGAUGACUGCCCUAUGGGUUGUAAACUUCUUUUAUAAAGGAAUAAAGUCGGGUAUGCAUACCCGUUUGCAUGUAUUUUAUGAAUAAGGAUCGGCUAACUCCGUGCCAGCAGCCGCGGUAAUACGGAGGAUCCGAGCGUUAUCCGGAUUUAUUGGGUUUAAAGGGAGCGUAGAUGGAUGUUUAAGUCAGUUGUGAAAGUUUGCGGCUCAACCGUAAAAUUGCAGUUGAUACUGGAUAUCUUGAGUGCAGUUGAGGCAGGCGGAAUUCGUGGUGUAGCGGUGAAAUGCUUAGAUAUCACGAAGAACUCCGAUUGCGAAGGCAGCCUGCUAAGCUGCAACUGACAUUGAGGCUCGAAAGUGUGGGUAUCAAACAGGAUUAGAUACCCUGGUAGUCCACACGGUAAACGAUGAAUACUCGCUGUUUGCGAUAUACAGCAAGCGGCCAAGCGAAAGCGUUAAGUAUUCCACCUGGGGAGUACGCCGGCAACGGUGAAACUCAAAGGAAUUGACGGGGGCCCGCACAAGCGGAGGAACAUGUGGUUUAAUUCGAUGAUACGCGAGGAACCUUACCCGGGCUUAAAUUGCAGAUGAAUUACGGUGAAAGCCGUAAGCCGCAAGGCAUCUGUGAAGGUGCUGCAUGGUUGUCGUCAGCUCGUGCCGUGAGGUGUCGGCUUAAGUGCCAUAACGAGCGCAACCCUUGUUGUCAGUUACUAACAGGUUCCGCUGAGGACUCUGACAAGACUGCCAUCGUAAGAUGUGAGGAAGGUGGGGAUGACGUCAAAUCAGCACGGCCCUUACGUCCGGGGCUACACACGUGUUACAAUGGGGGGUACAGAGGGCCGCUACCACGCGAGUGGAUGCCAAUCCCAAAAACCUCUCUCAGUUCGGACUGGAGUCUGCAACCCGACUCCACGAAGCUGGAUUCGCUAGUAAUCGCGCAUCAGCCACGGCGCGGUGAAUACGUUCCCGGGCCUUGUACACACCGCCCGUCAAGCCAUGGGAGCCGGGGGUACCUGAAGUGCGUAACCGAGAGGAGCGCCCUAGGGUAAAACUGGUGACUGGGGC
rnacentral:rRNA from 1 species